UGGGGAAUAUUGCGCAAUGGGGGAAACCCUGACGCAGCGACGCCGUGUGAGGGAAGAAGGCCUUCGGGUCGUAAACCUCUGUCGGGAGGGAAGAACCGCCGGUUUCCGAACAGGGAGCCGGCCUGACGGUACCUCUAGAGGAAGCGCCGGCUAACUCCGUGCCAGCAGCCGCGGUAAUACGGAGGGCGCGAGCGUUAAUCGGAAUCACUGGGCGUAAAGCGCGCGUAGGCGGCUUGAUAAGUCGGGCGUGAAAGCCCUCGGCCCAACCGAGGAACGGCGUUCGAUACUGUGAGGCUUGAGUCCUGGAGAGGGUGGCGGAAUUCCGGGUGUAGGAGUGAAAUCCGUAGAUAUCCGGAGGAACACCGGUGGCGAAGGCGGCCACCUGGACAGGUACUGACGCUGAGGUGCGAAAGCGUGGGGAGCAAACA
rnacentral:rRNA from 1 species